CCUACGGGAGGCAGCAGUGAGGAAUAUUGGUCAAUGGGCGGAAGCCUGAACCAGCCAAGUAGCGUGCGGGAUGAAGGCCCUACGGGUCGUAAACCGCUUUUGCACGGGGAUAACACCCUCCACUUGUGGAGGUCUGCAGGUACCGUGCGAAUAAGGGCCGGCUAAUUCCUUGCCAGCAGCCGCGGUAAUACGGAAGGCCCGAGCGUUAUCCGGAUUCAUUGGGCUUAAGGGGAGCGUAGGCGGGCGUUCAAGUCAGCUGUAAAAUCGCGCGGCUCAACCGCGCCCCGAAGUUGAAACUGGACGCAUUGAGUUCACAACAGGCAGGCGGAAUUCGUGGUGUAGCGGUGAAAUGCAGAGAUAUCACGAGGAACCCCGAUUGCGAAGGCAGCCUGCCGGGGUGCGACUGACGCUGAGGCUCGAAGGUGCGGGUAUCAAACAGGAUUAGAUACCCCAGUAGUC
rnacentral:rRNA from 1 species